UACAGAGGUCUCAACCGUUGUUCGGAUUCAUUGGGCGUAAAGGGUGCGUAGGCGGCGCGGUAAGUCGGGUGUGAAAUCUCGGGGCUUAACUCCGAAACUGCAUUCGAUACUGCCGUGCUUGAGGACUGGAGAGGAGACUGGAAUUUACGGUGUAGCGGUGAAAUGCGCAGAUAUCAGGAAGAACACCCGUGGCGAAGGCGGCUCUCUGGGACGGUACUGACGCUGAGACGCGAAAGCGUGGGGAGCGAACAGG
rnacentral:rRNA from 1 species